rnacentral:lncRNA from 1 species
GCCAGGAAUGCCUCCUUUUCAUUAUACUGGAUUUUGAAUUACUUUUUGGUUGCUGUGAGUUUAGAAAAUGUUUACUAUUGAAGCAUUUGAGCUCUGACACUCAACUUAAUUUAAAAUUCCUCCUUGAGCCAGUAGUGACUCUUUCUUGUCUAAACCACAUAUACUUUACUUUGUCUCUUUUCAGAGAAAGUCCUGUCCUAGCCUGGGCUCAUGCACAGCCAACCACAGGAAGUCAGGGCUUUCUGCAGGUGUCAUGAUUUUCAGCUACUGAACCUAUUUGGACUGCCCUCUGACAACCUGUUGACCACCGAACACAAGCAGCAGCUAUCCCAGGCUCUGAUGGAAACUAAAUGCCAGUGUCACUCAAAAUUGAUAUGUGAGCCCUAUUGUAAUGGCAUGAAAUAAAUCUUCAUGAUGAAAUUAAUGUCCUCAUCCUGAGAGGAGAGGGCUAGCUCCUACCUUCUGAGUAUAAGGACAUCACCCUGCAAAACAGAAGAGAGGACCUCAUCAGAAAGCAAGCUGGUUAGCACCUUGUUCUCAGACUCUGUAGCCUUUCAAACCAUGGAUCAAUUUCUAUUCUUUAAGCUGCCCAGUCUAUGGUAAUUUUGUUACAGUGACCAAUACUGACAAGAACAAGUUUCUUCUUAAUUCAUUUACUUUCUGCGCAGCACUCACUACCCUGUUGCCAGGGAAGCCAGAACUGUAGUGAACUCCUCCCAGGGCCUCUUCUAAGGAGCAAAUGAUGUACACAGUUCUACCUCUCUAGUCCAGUUCAGAAUCCACCACAAAGCUCCAAGAGGCCCCACCAUCAACCCUGCAAUGUUCUUCCUGGUGAGUUUGCCUUCUUCCUUCACUGCCCAGGUUUAUGCCUCUUUCCUGGGACUCUAUGUGAAGUAAAAUAGCCUACACAUCCAUCACUUGGGCUUCCCUCUCAAGACAGAACAAACCUGUGUUAAGACACUGCCUCCACGGCUGUUCCAAAGAACUUCACAGAUGCAGUUUGCCUGUGGGCUCUGAGUCACCACUCUGUGGGUAGAUCCUUCCUUGGUUGGCAGACCAAACUAGCCAAAUCCUACCUGGGAUAAAGUGCCAAGGUUCUUCACCAGACAGACAGUCCUUGGAGCUUGCCAGUUCUUUUGUUCUUCCCUAAAAAUAGCUUAGCUCUAAAAACAAAAACAAAAAUUGAAAAAAAAAGAAAGAAAAAUGUUCCCUGCCAUUUAUGCUUUAUUAUGUCAAAAGCAGUAAGUGUGGCAUUGAAAAACUUAAAAAAAAAAAGUAUGGUAAACAAAUGGAAAGGAUUACAGGACAAACUGUUGCUGUAAUGGUUGUUUUAUGUAUGAUAAAAAACAAAAACUGUAAAGCAAUGUUGAGUUUAUUUUAAAAUAGUCAAGAGAAAGCCAUAUGA